GGACGCUUUUGAUACGCGUGUCUCCAGGAAGGGUGAGAAGAAAAAAGUGCCGACGGUGUGGGGUCGUCGUCCCCAACAAAGAUUCUUUUCGUAUCGUUAUAUCACAUAUGUCAUUAGAACAACUGCUGUUCUGAGAAAGUCGCCUGAGUGGCGAUGCAACGACACUUCUCGUGGCACUCGAGUACUAUUCUGAACACGGGACAGAACUGUCAAGAAAACUAAAAGCGUCGAUUCUAUGAACUGUUACAACGAAUACAAUUUAUCCGAAUGUAAUUUUCACACGAAUAUGUAAUAAUAUUGAACCUGCUUCGAAUGAAAGUUACUAAAUUUUACCCAACACAAAAAUCUUGCAGUAAACAAACUCAAUGCAAUCUCGACGUAUUGUGCAUCACGAGCCUCGCGGCCAUCACUAAUUUCAACUGGCACUGUUAGUGGCGCCAUCGCCUCUUUAGACGGAAGAACAAGGAACUGGACCAUUGCGCGCGCGAUAGUCGUGAAUAAUGGCGAAAUAUGGGUAUACCUGGACGACCUUGUGGACCAGGUGAUCCAGGACGACCUGGACGGCCUCGGCCAGGUGGACCAGGUGGACCUUGUAUCUGUGCUGCCAUCUCAGUCAUCUGCUCUAUAUAUAUACAGCCGCAAUAAAAGGAAUAGUUAUCUUUCUA